AUUGAACGCUGGCGGCAUGCUUUACACAUGCAAGUCGAACGGCAGCGCGGGCUUCGGCCUGGCGGCGAGUGGCGAACGGGUGAGUAAUACAUCGGAACGUGCCCAGUAGUGGGGGAUAGCUCGGCGAAAGCCGGAUUAAUACCGCAUACGACCUGAGGGUGAAAGCGGGGGAUCUUCGGACCUCGCGCUAUUGGAGCGGCCGAUGGCCGAUUAGCCAGUUGGUGGGGUAAAGGCCUACCAAGGCGACGAUCUGUAGCUGGUCUGAGAGGACGACCAGCCACACUGGGACUGAGACACGGCCCAGACUCCUACGGGAGGCAGCAGUGGGGAAUUUUGGACAAUGGGCGAAAGCCUGAUCCAGCAAUGCCGCGUGUGUGAUGAAGGCCUUCGGGUUGUAAAGCACUUUUGGCGGGAACGAAAAGGACUGUGCCAAUACCACGGUUCGAUGACGGUACCCGCAGAAUAAGCACCGGCUAACUACGUG
rnacentral:rRNA from 1 species